rnacentral:lncRNA from 12 species
GAAAAUCUUGCAUCCUGGAAGAUGCUUUACCAAGGCAACUUAUUUUAUGGUAGUGCACAGUACAGUUUACAUUCCAGCCCUGGUCCCAAGAGGGAGGAGGGCACUGAGUUCAGUGCCCAGCAUCUCUGCUUUAUCCAAUGCAGAUACUCCAGACAGCCCACCAGGGUACAAAAUGGAAAAAUGGAAUGCAGUCUUGAGAAAAGCUUUUACACCACCAUGGAUCUUGAAUCUUCACUGCCCAGGAUAUAUCCUCAACAGAGUAUCAGUUGAACAAGCGUGUCAGAGGCUCCUGUGUGUGUGUCCCCUGAAUCUGCUGUUCAGCAGAAUCCCAGUUUCAGAAUGCAGAGGGUACAAAACUCAUCCACCAUUCUUUGUCGUGUUGUGAGCCUGCACAGUCUGUUUCUUCUGGAAGAACUCCAAAUGAAAGGGAGUGACUGCAGCACCAACCAAGAUUUUUAAACAUCUUUGUAUUUUUGAAGUGAUGAGCCUUUUAAAAAUAAUAUUGCAUGGGUAGCCUUGGUGAGUAGGAAUUGAGGGAGAUGUGCU